GGCGCAGUGGCAGAGUGGUCUAAUGCGCAAGACUUGAAUGUCUAUUAUCAGAUAAGUUAAUCUUGUUCCUUCGGGGGCGUCUGUUCGAAUCAGGCCUGCGUCG
rnacentral:tRNA from 1 species